rnacentral:rRNA from 1 species
UACGUAGGGUGCGAGCGUUGUCCGGAAUUACUGGGCGUAAAGAGCUUGUAGGUGGUUUGUCGCGUUGUUCGUGAAAUCUCACGGCUUAACUGUGAGCGUGCGGGCGAUACGGGCAGACUAGAGUACUGCAGGGGAGACUGGAAUUCCUGGUGUAGCGGUGGAAUGCGCAGAUAUCAGGAGGAACACCGGUGGCGAAGGCGGGUCUCUGGGCAGAAACUGACGCUGAGAAGCGAAAGCGUGGGGAGCGAACAGG